rnacentral:rRNA from 1 species
CCUACGGGAGGCAGCAGUGGGGGAUAUUGCACAAUGGGGGGAACCCUGAUGCAGCGACGCCGCGUGGGUGAAGAAGCGCCUCGGCGCGUAAAGCCCUGUCAGCAGGGAAGAAAAUGACGGUACCUGACGAAGAAGCCCCGGCUAACUACGUGCCAGCAGCCGCGGUAAUACGUAGGGGGCAAGCGUUAUCCGGAUUUACUGGGUGUAAAGGGGGCGUAGACGGCGCUGCAAGUCAGGAGUGAAAGGCCGGGGCCCAACCCCGGGACUGCUCUUGGAACUGCGUGGCUGGAGUGCAGGAGGGGCAGGCGGAAUUCCUGGUGUAGCGGUGAAAUGCGUAGAUAUCAGGAGGAACACCGGUGGCGAAGGCGGCCUGCUGGACUGCAACUGACGUUGAGGCCCGAAAGCGUGGGGAGCAAACAGGAUUAGAUACCCCUGUAGUC